rnacentral:rRNA from 1 species
GAAAGGCCACUUGGUGGACUCGAGCGGCGAACGGGUGAGUACACGUGAGUAAUCUGCCCUUGGCUUUGGAUAGCCCCCGGAACGGUGAUUAAUCCGGGAUACGACAACUACUCGCCUGGUUGGUUGUGAAAGUUUUUCGCCAGGGAUGUGCUCGCGCCUAUCAGCUUGAUGGUGAGGUAAUGGCUCACCAUGGCUUCGACGGGUAGCCCGGCCUGAGAGGGUGACCGGUCACACUGGGACUGAGACACGGCCCAGACUCCUACCGGAGGCAGCAGUGGGGAAUAUUGGACAAUGGGCGGAAGCCUGAUCCAGCAACGCCGCCUGAGGGAUGACGGCCUUCGGGUUGUAAACCUCUUUCGGUAGGGACGAAGCGCAAGUGACGGUACCUACUAAAGAAGCACCGGCCAACUACGUGCCAGCAGCCGCGGUAAUACGUUGGGUGCGAGCGUUGUCCGGAAUUAUUGGGCGUAAAGGGCUCGUAGGCGGUUUGUCGCGUCGGGAGUGAAAACCAGGUGCUUAACACCUGGCUUGCUUUCGAUACGGGCAGACUAGAGGUAUGCAGGGGAGAACGGAAUUCCUGGUGUAGCGGUGAAAUGCGCAGAUAUCAGGAGGAACACCGGUGGCGAAGGCGGUUCUCUGGGCAUGACCUGACGCUGAGGAGCGAAAGUGUGGGGAGCGAACAGGAUUAGAUACCCUGGUAGUCCACACCGUAAACGUUGGGCGCUAGGUGUGGGGUCCAUUCCACGGAUUCCGUGCCGCAGCUAACGCAUUAAGCGCCCCGCCUGGGGAGUACGGCCGCAAGGCUAAAACUCAAAGGAAUUGACGGGGGCCCGCACAAGCGGCGGAGCAUGCGGAUUAAUUCGAUGCAACGCGAAGAACCUUACCUGGGUUUGACAUACACCCUGCCGCUCCAGAGAUGGGGCUUCUUUUGGGGGUGUACAGGUGGUGCA